GACGAACGCUGGCGGCGUGCUUAACACAUGCCAGUCGAACGGUGAAGCCCCAGCUUGCUGGGGUGGAUCAGUGGCGAACGGGUGAGUAACACGUGAGCAACCUGCCCCUGACUCUGGAAUAAGCGCUGGAAACGGCGUCUAAUACUGGAUACGAGAAGGGUCCGCAUGGGCACUUUCUGGAAAGUUUUGCGGUUGGGGAUGGGCUCGCGGCCUAUCAGCUUGUUGGUGAGGUAAUGGCUCACCAAGGCGACGACGGGUACCCGGCCUGAGAGGGUGACCGGCCACACUGGGACUGAGACACGGCCCAGACUCCUACGGGAGGCAGCAGUGGGGAAUAUUGCACAAUGGGCGAAAGCCUGAUGCAGCGACGCCGCGUGAGGGAUGACGGCCUUCGGGUUGUAAACCUCUUUCAGCAGGGAAGAAGCGAAAGUGACGGUACCUGCAGAAGAAGCACCGGCUAACUACGUG
rnacentral:rRNA from 1 species